rnacentral:misc_RNA from 1 species
UGCACCCCUAUAAAGUCCUUUAACCUAUCAAAGACAAUUAUCACUUGCUUAUUCUUUGAAAAAUAAUGCCAUUCAAAUUCUAAAAACCUUCACUCCCUUCCAUCAAAGGGAGGGGGCAGGACCCUGCAUCUCUUGAAAUGAGAAACUGAUGCAGUUUUUUUUACGCCGACAGAAUGCAGUUUAUGACCUUAAAGUAGCAGACCUAAGAUAGGAGGAUGCUCUGAUAAGGUGGUCUAAUUAAGUCAUAUAAAAAUAAGCUGAAUAAAUAAUGCCAGAGAAGAGCUGAAACAUAUUUGCAGAUCAUAAGUGAAAAUUUGCUUAAGUUUCCAAUUUCUUAAUGCAAUUGCAGUAUGAUGCAUACAGGCACACCACUUACUUCAUUAACUGGUAGCAACUAUAGGAAGGGACCUUGUGGCAACUACAACGAAAGAAAAAUGAUUUUCUAAAUGUACUUAAAUACAAAUGAAAAUGGAUAGCUAGAGAUCUACAAAGAUUUUAGAAGUGAGAGACAUUCAACCAACCAAUGCAAAGAAAAGAGACUCUUCUAUUAAUGCAAGGAUGUAUGGACAAAAGCGAUCUCUUUCUUUUCUUUACUUUUUUCUCCUUCUUCUUUUCUGGGUUGUUUUGGUGUGGGUGUGCGUGUGUUGCUAAUUCAAUAUCCAUUAUCAUGACUCAGACAUACGCGAUCCAUGUUUUGUAGCAUGAUAGAAUCUAACUAAUGAAUUCAUUUAGCAUUGAUGAUAUGACAUCCACUAUUUCAAACAUAUAUUCACAGGUUUCACCUUAAAUCACCAUUACCAUGACUCAGACAUAUGUGGUCCAUGUUUUGUAAUAUGAUAGAAUGUAACUAAUGCAUUCAUUUAGCAUUGAUGACAUGACAUCCAUUAUUUCAAACAUAUACUCACAGGUUUCACCUUAAAUCACCAUUACCAUGACUCAGACAUAUGUGGUCCAUGUUUUGUAAUAUGAUAGAAUGUAACUAAUGCAUUCAUUUAGCAUUGAUGACAUGACAUCCAUUAUUUCAAACAUAUAC